rnacentral:rRNA from 1 species
CGUAGAGUUUCGAUCCUGGGCUCAGGAUGAACGCUGGCGGCAUGCCUAACACAUGCAAGUCAACGGGGGUUUAGUAUAACGGAACUCUCCGGAGGGAAGAUAUAUAAACCUAGUGGCGGACGGGUGAGUAACGCGUGGGUAACCUGCCCUGUACCGGGGGACAACAGCCAGAAAUGGCUGCUAAUACCGCAUAAGCCUGCUGUGCCGCAUGGCACAGCAGGGAAAACCACGGUGGUACAGGAUGGGCCCGCGUCUGAUUAGUUAGUUGGCAGGGUAACGGCCUACCAAGACAACGAUCAGUAGCCGGCUUGAGAGAGUGGACGGCCACAUUGGGACUGAGGCACGGCCCAGACUCCUGCGGGAGGCAGCAGUGGGGAAUAUUGCACAAUGGGGGGAACCCUGAUGCAGCAAUGCCGCGUGGGUGAAGAAGCACUCCGGUGCGUAAAGCCCUGUCAGCAGGGAAGAAAAUGACAGUACCUGACCAAGAAGCCCCGGCUAACUACGUG